rnacentral:lncRNA from 1 species
GAGCCAAGAUCUAUGGUUACAAACGGAUAAGGCCAAGCCGAAUUCUGAUAUGACUUCAGAGACGAGCCUAACCACUACCAGCUCCACGUCUAAAAAUGACAAGUCAGUGAACUUGAUCGAAAUAGUGGUGUGGAUUUCAUGUAAGACUAAAGUUGAUUAGAGUUAGGACUAAAAGAACCUUUUUAGGCUUGAAAGAUUUAAUCGAAACAGUCCAGAUUAAAUCUGAACCCCCC